rnacentral:rRNA from 1 species
GACGAACGCUGGCGGCGUGCUUAACACAUGCAAGUCGAACGGAAAGGCCCUGCUUUUGUGGGGUGCUCGAGUGGCGAACGGGUGAGUAACACGUGAGUAACCUGCCCUUGACUUUGGGAUAACUUCAGGAAACUGGGGCUAAUACCGGAUAGGAGCUCCUGCUGCAUGGUGGGGGUUGGAAAGUUUCGGCGGUUGGGGAUGGACUCGCGGCUUAUCAGCUUGUUGGUGGGGUAGUGGCUUACCAAGGCUUUGACGGGUAGCCGGCCUGAGAGGGUGACCGGCCACAUUGGGACUGAGAUACGGCCCAGACUCCUACGGGAGGAAGCAGUGGGGAAUAUUGCACAAUGGGCGGAAGCCUGAUGCAGCAAUGCCGCGUGCGGGAUGACGGCCUUCGGGUUGUAAACCGCUUUCGCCUGUGACGAAGCGUGAGUGACGGUAAUGGGUAAAGAAGCACCGGCUAACUACGUG